GGAACGACAGCUGGGACAGUUAAAUGACGUGCGUUGGCCUUGUUCCAACACCAUCAUGGUUAUAUUGGUGGUUCCUUCCAGUAUUUUCCCCUAUGUGUAGUAACAUUUUCAGCAUUGUCGUACUAAUAGCAUAUUUACAGCUUAAAUUUCUGUUUUCCCACUCUUGUGUCUCGCUCUUCAGUUUUACUUUUCUCAAAGCUCCUUUCCCGUAGUCUUCAUUGUUGGCGACUGUGCAGUUAACAGCUGUGAGCCGGUUCUGCAUAAUGGCUUACCUUUUCUGUUGUCGUCCCCAGCUUCAUGCCGUUCCCGGUAACACAGGGAUAAGCGCAUUGGCAUUUGGGGUUAUUUCCACAGUACAGGUUUCCAGAGCGGGGAUUACUAGGUUGGGGCAUAGGGAAGGCUUGGACCCAUCCUCAUCUUUAAAGAAAGUGAAGAAGGGCUGUCAUUUCUGAACCACUCACUCCACUAGUCCAUCUGAUCCGAUUCUCUUUGUAGUUGCAAAGGAUUGUGGAAAAGGAUCUUUGCAUCUUAUUUCAUAGGUUUUAGAAUGUUGUUCUC
rnacentral:lncRNA from 1 species